rnacentral:rRNA from 1 species
GUGCAUCGUACGUAGGUCUAGCGAGCCCACCUCCCACCCGUGUUUACUGUACCUUAGUUGCUUCGGCGGGCCCGCCAUUCAUGGCCGCCGGGGGCUCUCAGCCCCGGGCCCGCGCCCGCCGGAGACACCACGAACUCUGUCUGAUCUAGUGAAGUCUGAGUUGAUUGUAUCGCAAUCAGUUAAAACUUUCAACAAUGGAUCUCUUGGUUCCGGCAUCGAUGAAGAACGCAGCGAAAUGCGAUAACUAGUGUGAAUUGCAGAAUUCCGUGAAUCAUCGAGUCUUUGAACGCACAUUGCGCCCCCUGGUAUUCCGGGGGGCAUGCCUGUCCGAGCGUCAUUGCUGCCCAUCAAGCACGGCUUGUGUGUUGGGUCGUCGUCCCCUCUCCGGGGGGGACGGGCCCCAAAGGCAGCGGCGGCACCGCGUCCGAUCCUCGAGCGUAUGGGGCUUUGUCACCCGCUCUGUAGGCCCGGCCGGCGCUUGCCGAACGCAAAUCAAUCUUUUUCCAGGUUGACCUCGGAUCAGGUAGGGAUACCCGCUGAACUUAAGCAUAUCAAAAGCCGGAGGAA